rnacentral:rRNA from 1 species
GAUGAACGCUGGCGGCGUGCCUAAUACAUGCAAGUCGAGCGAACGGACGAGAAGCUUGCUUCUCUGAUGUUAGCGGCGGACGGGUGAGUAACACGUGGAUAACCUACUUAUAAGACUGGGAUAACUUCGGGAAACCGGAGCUAAUACCAGAUAAUAUUUUGAACCGCAUGGUUCAAAAGUGAAAGACGGUCUUGCUGUCACUUAUAGAUGGAUCCGCGCUGCAUUAGCUAGUUGGUAAGGUAACGGCUUACCAAGGCAACGAUGCAUAGCCGACCUGAGAGGGUGAUCGGCCACACUGGAACUGAGACACGGUCCAGACUCCUACGGGAGGCAGCAGUAGGGAAUCUUCCGCAAUGGGCGAAAGCCUGACGGAGCAACGCCGCGUGAGUGAUGAAGGUCUUCGGAUCGUAAAACUCUGUUAUUAGGGAAGAACAUAUGUGUAAGUAACUGUGCACGUCUUGACGGUACCUAAUCAGAAAGCCACGGCUAACUACGUG